CAGUCUGCACAGUCUGCACCGCCGCACGCUUCUGCUGAGUCAUAACCAUAGACUGUAAAUAUUACUGGACAAACCCUGACCCGUCUGUUACGUAGGCAGCAAAUGAGUCCAAUCGACAGCCGCAUCCAUAUUGGAUUUGCAGUCUCAACCUAACUUCGGAUCAACCUAGCAACAGCAGUAAGGCGGGACUUAACUCCGCCCAUUCAGUUCGACGUUAGCAGUCCACUUGACAGCAUAGCUAACGGCUACUGCUGCUAUCAUCCCCUACGACUUUCCUGCUCGUCCUGAGAAAACUCGAUAAACAACACAGUGUGGAUUAUUGGUGACUGGUCCGUCAAGGUGCCCAGAGAGCUGCAGAGACAGAGGAAGAAACCUGAGCCUCAACAACAUCUGUAUUUGUUGGUUCUUCUGGGGUGGACUUCAGUUGCUUCUUGUUGCUUCUUCAACAACUCGCUGCGAGGGAGGUCUCCCCCGGAUGGCCUGAGGGACGUCACCCACAUGUUCCUGCAUCGAUGGCGGUCUCCAUGCUUUAAAUGCUGUCUCACCCUUACCUUCAUUCAACCUAGCAACAGGCUGAGAGCUGGAGCUGAGGCGGGUUUUAAGCCUCCUGACAAACCGUUACACCGCGCCCGCCUGUUAAGCUGGUCAGCUACACGCCUUAUUGUGAAUAACUCUUAUCCUUCAUCAAAACUGAUGAGUCAUCAAAACAUUCACCCCCCCGUACAGUGUGUGUCGAUUGAGACAUGAGCUAAUCAGACCUAUUUGUUUUUUUUGUACCAAGCUGUAAACAUGUUAAUCUCUGCUGUAAAAACAGGCUUUUUUAAUGUGGUUUUUAAGAUUAAAUAAAUAUUUCUAUAUAAAUGGA